UACAAAUACCAAGUAAUAAUCUCUGCUAUUCUACAUUAGUCAAAUUCACUUUCAAGCUUCUGCUGCUGUUAAUACAAGAAUCACAAUCUGAAUGCAAUGUGCCCUCAGUAUGAUACAUGUAAUAUAUAAAGGUAUUCAACAGCUCUCUGGAGUCUGUAUAACUUCCAAGAAUUUGAAUCAUCAAAGCAAAGGGAGUGGCAUGAUGACUCAGUUAUGAAUUAUUAGUCAAGACCAAGCCAACUAGUGUGUAAGCACAUGGCGAUAGCGGAAUGGUGAAAAACAACUACCAACUGUUUCAUCCAACAGUAGGAGCAGCAGAAGCUGCAGCAACUGUUGGAAACAAGUGAAGACAAAUGAGGCAAGUCUUUAUCUGA